UACAGAGGGUGCGAGCGUUAAUCGGAAUUACUGGGCGUAAAGCGUACGCAGGCGGUUUGCUAAGACAGGUGUGAAAUCCCCGGGCUUAACCUGGGAACUGCGCUUGUUACUGGCAAGCUAGAGUGUGGCAGAGGGGGGUAGAAUUCCAGGUGUAGCAGUGAAAUGCGUAGAUAUCUGGAGGAAUACCGAUGGCGAAGGCAGCCCCCUGGGUUAACACUGACGCUCAUGUACGAAAGCGUGGGGAGCAAACAGG
rnacentral:rRNA from 1 species